rnacentral:lncRNA from 1 species
GUUCUUAUGACUUUUUGUUACUGUUGCUAGGUGGCAAUGAAAAAUGGGUUAAUCUGUCAUAUAAUUUUUAUUUUGUUCAUCUUAUGAUAUUGUACAGAUCACUGCAUGAACAUGUCAUCAAAAUAGUUAAUAGCUUCUAGAUAGCAAGGAAACUUAUGGAAUUAGUGGUCUGCCGUUGUGUAAGAUUUUUCUUCAGUGUUAACGGUUAGGAUUUUAAUUGUUAAGAAUUGUUUAAAACAAUUUUAUCCACAAAAGCAGUGUAUUAACAUACAUAAAAUACAUUAUGUUUAAGAGUUAAGAUUAAGAUAAAAGAGAUACCUGGAGUAUUCUAACAUAGGUUCUGAUACUAAGACAUUGAGACAUUGAGAAUGUUACAAAACAUUGGUGUACAUAAAUAUUGAACACCUGACUGCUCUCAUCCGAAUAUACUUUAAGUAUUCUUUUGAAAAAAAUAAUGCAUUUGGCUUAAAAUUAAUAAGGUUUAAUAAAAAAUUGAAGCAUAGUUGUAGGAACUAACAGCUGGUAGUAGCCACCAUUAUUUGGUAGGAAUUGGGUUCUGGUAUUAAGCUGGCAUACUAAACAUUUUUAUAAUUGGUAAGAUCUUCAGCUGGCUUUGAAGAAGAAAAAAAGAAAACCAUUGAUCCUCUUCUGAAAUUAUGACUUUAAAUUCACAAUGCUAGUGGGAGCUUGUCCGAUCAGUGUAUUUACUUAUUGUGUCCCCACAUCCCCUUUUUUGGAGGUGGGAUGGGGAGUUAGUUUUUAUGAAAUGCUUAGACUUUACAAUCAUUAUCUAAUUAGGGUUCCCAUCAGAAAAACCAGCACUCUUGAACAUUUUUAACUUGUUUAAUAGAAGUCUUUAAUUUUAAUGAGAAAGUAAAAGUAACUUUUCUCAAUGACAAUUAUUUUUAAUUAACUCACAUAUGUUCACUUUUGACCACCAAUAACAAAAAAAGUGGUACCUUUCAACUUUGUAAGGGUGUCCCUACCCUUAAAUUAGGUUCAUUCUCUCAACUGGGAACUAAUUAAAUCUCAUAAUGACCAUUUAGGAAAAAUUAGAAUGGCACAGUAAUUUCAUGAAACCUAAGUAUUUAAGAGAAUAAUUCCCCUUUGGUGGCAUAAUCUCCUUUAGAAGGACUAGUUAAUAGCUCUUACUUGUCUUAAACAGUUAAGAAUUGCAAGUCACAACUGUAAAUACCAGAAAGGGAAAGUUACUUUGCAAAGUAACCAAAUAAAUGUUAGGGGGAAGCUAAACUUUUGGGGAAAGCUUUUGAAGAUUAUAUAAAGUGAACAAUCUUAGGUAUAUAGCUCAGAACCAAGGGGAACCAUUCCUGACUUAAAUGAUUAUAAUUGCUGGGCACACUGGCACAUUCUUAUAAUUCCAGUGAUGUGGAAGGCUGAGACAGGAGGAUCUCAAGUUCCAGACCACCCUGGGUAACUUAGUGGGGCCCUAUCUCAAAAUAAAAUAUAAACUUACAUCCAGUGAGGUUAAAGCGCUCCUAGCAAUAAUUCCUUACAGUAUAGGAAAAAAAAAAGUUAAAAAAAAUUAGGUAUAUAGCUCAAUGAAUUUUUACAAAUAAACAUACUGUGUAACCAUUACCUCGUUCAAGAUACAGAACAUUUUUAGCACCCCAUAAUUUCCUCUCUUGUCCUCUCUUCCCAAAUCAUUGCUCCAUAAACCCCAAUGUCACCUCUUUCACUUUAGAGCGUUGCUCUGGCCCCCACAGUGCUAGGUUUGGAACCCAGGACCUAGCACAGGUUAGGUUGGUGCUCAAGCACAGCUUCAUACCCCAGCCUCCUUUGCCUCUUUUGAAUUUUAUAUAAUGUAUAUUCUUUGUAACUGAUUUAUUUAACAUUCAGAUACAAACUUGGUGUCACUUGAAACAAUAAUUAUUUUAGAAUGCUGC